GUAGUACUUUAUUUGUUUCGAAUUACUUGUCGCACAUAUGGAUGUAUCUAGAUGUAUUUUAGUUCUAGAUACAUUCAUUUUAGCGACGAGUAAUUUGGAACAGAGGGAGUAUAUA
rnacentral:pre_miRNA from 1 species